rnacentral:rRNA from 1 species
GACGGGACCGCACAAGCGGUGGAUGAUGUGGUUUAAUUCGAUGCAACGCGAAAACCUUACCUACCUUGACAUGCCAGGAAUCCUGCAGAGAUGUGGGAGUGCUCGCAAGAGAGCCUGGACACAGGUGCUGCAUGGCUGUCGUCAGCUCGUGUCGUGAGAUGUUGGGUUAAGUCCCGCAACGAGCGCAACCCUUGCCAUUAGUUGCUACGAAAGGGCACUCUAAUGGGACUGCCGGUGACAAACCGGAGGAAGGUGGGGAUGACGUCAAGUCCUCAUGACCCUUAUGGGUAGGGCUACACACGUCAUACAAUGGCCGGUACAGAGGGCUGCCAACCCGCGAGGGGGAGCCAAUCCCGUAAAACCGGUCGUAGUCCGGAUUGCAGUCUGCAACUCGACUGCAUGAAGUCGGAAUCGCUAGUAAUCGCGGAUCAGCAUGUCGCGGUGAAUACGUUCCCGGGUCUU